GACGAACGCUGGCGGCGUGCUUAACACAUGCAAGUCGAACGGUAAGGCCCUUCGGGGUACACGAGUGGCGAACGGGUGAGUAACACGUGGGUGAUCUGCCCUGCACUUCGGGAUAAGCCUGGGAAACUGGGUCUAAUACCGGAUAGGACUCCGGACUGCAUGGUCUGGGGUGGAAAGCUUUUGCGGUGUGGGAUGGGCCCGCGGCCUAUCAGCUUGUUGGUGGGGUGAUGGCCUACCAAGGCGACGACGGGUAGCCGGCCUGAGAGGGUGACCGGCCACACUGGGACUGAGAUACGGCCCAGACUCCUACGGGAGGCAGCAGUGGGGAAUAUUGCACAAUGGGCGUAAGCCUGAUGCAGCGACGCCGCGUGAGGGAUGACGGCCUUCGGGUUGUAAACCUCUUUCAGCAUCGACGAAGCGAAAGUGACGGUAGGUGCAGAAGAAGGACCGGCCAACUACGUGCCAGCCUCCGCAGUAA
rnacentral:rRNA from 1 species